GGUGGCUCAGGGGUAGAGUGCUUGCCUUGCAUGCAUGAGGCCCUGGGUUCGAUUCCUCAGCACCA
rfam:Dipodomys ordii contig_68040, whole genome shotgun sequence.